rnacentral:lncRNA from 1 species
UUUAAAAGUUUUGUGUAUUUGUAGAUUAUGAAUCUCUGGUAACUACUUGUAACAUUUGGCUCUGUUUUCUGUGAAUAUUUAUCCCUAGCUAAAAAAAAUUCUUACAUCUUCAGAAGAGCUAUAAUGUUGACACCUAACUACACUGUAAUACUACACAGUAAUAGGACACUAAGCAGAUAGAUAGGUUUUUAAAAAAUAUUUGUAUUUUCAGCACCUGGUAAUACAGUGGUCUAGUACAUAAUUGUCAAAUCAGUGAAAUAUUGAAUUAUCUUUUUCUUUUUGGUUAGGGCUUUUCCUUUCUUAAUCGAUACCUCAGUUUACGUGGGCCCUGCCAGGAAUCAUUCUACAAUUUGGGCCGUGGCCUUCAUCAGUUGGGGCUGAUUCAUCUUGCAAUCCACUAUUAUCAGAAGGCCCUGGAGCUCCCUCCACUUGUGGUAGAGGGUAUAGAACUUGACCAGUUAGACUUACGAAGAGAUAUUGCCUACAACUUGUCUCUCAUCUAUCAGAGCAGUGGGAAUACCGGAAUGGCUCAAACGCUUUUGUAUAC